GAAUAGGGGUAUAUUUCUGUGAGUGUAUCACUUGGAUUUUGAUCUUCCACCAGUAGAUAUUGUCAUGGAGGGUAUAUAAUUUGCUCUUUUAGUUCAAAUUCAUUGGAUUAGUAAUAUCCAUAUGUGGAUAUAAAGUAGAGAAAACUGUAUAUACCUCUCAGGUAUUCUGGACUUAGAAUCUGAUGCCAAGAUUUAUGGUACUAUGGUACUUUGGAUUAUCUCCCUCCCUCAAGAAGGAGAUGAGUGGGAUAAAAGAAUAUUAGAAUCAGCAAUAGAUUAUAUUGGGGGAUGUAGCCACAGGCGUAAAAUGUGGUUGAAGCCAAGAGAUUAUGAGCUUCUGGAUGGUAAGGAUUUAUAGAAGAAGCUGUAAAAUUUGCUGUCCCUAACUAUACUCCAUAAAAAGACUGGUUCUUCCUGCUAAGGAUCUACAGUGUUCUGCUUCAGCCUGAAAAUUACCCUGAACGAAGACAGAGUGGGUAUCAAGUACAGUUUAUUCUAUUCAUCUCUAACUAUGAACAUGCCACAAUUAUUUUCACAGUAGCUGAGACUCCUCCUUGGUCCAUUGGCAUGUGGUGCCAGAUCCCACAACUCCCACAAAGGCACUUUUUUCCAAAAAUAGAUGCCAAAUAGUUGUUGUAGCUUAGGGACAAAUGCAAUGAGGAAUGUCUUAAGAGAUCAUCUUGCUGAUGUCACUAAGGAAGGGCAUAUAUUGUAUCUCCAUUUUAAUUAAUAGCAUACAUAACUCUUGAAAGUUAUGUAAUUUGCCUAAGCUGCCAUUCUACAGAAGCUCACGUGCUGGGAAAUCAUAAGCCUGAUGGUAGAACAUGCACAUUUUCUAAGAUUAAGGCAAAGCUCUGGAUUGUGUCUAAUUCAUCAUUCUACCAUCUGUUUAACAUGGAUUUAUCACUAGUUACUGGCUUGGAGUGCUGAUAACAACCCUCAGUACAUAUGAAUUGUUGGAUACGCAAUUCCAAAUCAGAGGAGUUUCCAAGUGAGAGAAACAGUAACUGUCAGAUCAACUGCAAGGACUCAAUUCAAAUAUUCUAUUUCCAACGGUAACAUCGAUGAUCAUCCUAUCUAAAACAGCUUCCUUCAAUGACUUCCAGUAUCAUCGAUUUCUUUCUCUAUACUUACCACAACCUGUAACUAUAUUACAUGUUGUAUUUUCACUUGCCAAUUGCCUGUCUCUCCCACUGCUGUAGAGGGUGCAUGAAGAGAAAGACCUUCUGCUGUUACUUUUGUUUAUUUCCAUAACUGGAAGACAAUUCAUGGGGAAAGUGGAUCCUGAAGGUUUUGGUUGAUGACCAUCAUCAAGGUGAACAGUUAUCUCCCACUGAGCUAAAGCACUAUAAUGAGGAUGCAGCUUGAGAAUAAUUCAGGACAUUACAAAGGCUGGUCUCUUUUCCUCAAAUACAUUGAGGAACGUGAGUAUAGAAAAGAGGGAGCAGACAUCUGGAUUACAGUGAUGUAACCACUUCUUCACAGAUGGAGGAUGAUAUAAUUAUUCCAGGAAUUUCUAUAUGUAUUGAUCAGUCAUUAAAAUAAAAAUCUACCCACCAUUUGCUUCAAUGUGGAUGGAACUGGAGGGUAUUAUGCUGAGUGAAAUAAAUCAAUUGGAG